rnacentral:rRNA from 1 species
GACGAACGCUGGCGGCGUGCUUAACACAUGCAAGUCGAACGGUGAAGGGGCCUGCUUUUGUGGGCCCUGGAUGAGUGGCGAACGGGUGAGUAACACGUGAGCAACCUGCCCCCUUCUUCUGGAUAACCGCAUGAAAGUGUGGCUAAUACGGGAUAUUCUGGGUCUGUCGCAUGAUGGGUCUGGGAAAGAUUGCGCCUUUGGGUGUUUUUGGUGGGGGAUGGGCUCGCGGCCUAUCAGCUUGUUGGUGGGGUGAUGGCCUACCAAGGCGGUGACGGGUAGCCGGCCUGAGAGGGUGGACGGUCACACUGGGACUGAGACACGGCCCAGACUCCUACGGGAGGCAGCAGUGGGGAAUAUUGCACAAUGGGCGCAAGCCUGAUGCAGCGACGCCGCGUGAGGGAUGGAGGCCUUCGGGUUGUAAACCUCUUUCGCCAGUGAAGCAGGCCUGCUCCUUGUGAGUGGGUUGACGGUAGCUGGAUAAGAAGCGCCGGCUAACUACGUG